GGCCCGUUAGUGCAGCGGUUAUCACGCCUCCCUUUCACGGAGGAAACACGGGUUCGAGUCCCGUACGGGCUA
rnacentral:tRNA from 2 species